GCGCCAGUAGCUCAGGUGGUAGAGCAGCUGACUCUUAAUCAGCGGGUCGUGGGUUCGAGUCCUACCUGGCGCACCA
rnacentral:tRNA from 1 species